AAUACCGGAUAUUAUGAGAUUCUCGCAUGAGAAACUUAUGAAAGCUAUAUGCGCCAAGAGAGAGCCUUGCGUUCCAUUAGCUAGUUGGUGGGGUAACGGCCCACCAAGGCGACGAUGGAUAGCCGGCCUGAGAGGGUGAACGGCCACAAGGGGACUGAGACACGGCCCUUACUCCUACGGGAGGCAGCAGUGGGGAAUAUUGGACAAUGGGCCACAAGCCUGAUCCAGCAAUUCUGUGUGCACGAUGAAGGUCUUCGGAUUGUAAAGUGCUUUCAGUUGGGAAGAAGAAAGUGACGGUACCAACAGAAGAAGCGACGGCUAAAUACGUGCCAGCAGCCGCGGUAAUACGUAUGUCGCAAGCGUUAUCCGGAUUUAUUGGGCGUAAAGCGCGUCUAGGCGGAAAAAUAAGUCUGAUGUUAAAAUGCGGGGCUCAACUCCGUAUUGCGUUGGAAACUGUUUUUCUAGAGUACUGG
rnacentral:rRNA from 1 species